rnacentral:rRNA from 1 species
UACCUGCAGCUCGAGUGGUAACCGCUAUUAUUGGGCCUAAAGCGUCCGUAGCCGGUUUGGUAAAUAUCUGGGUAAAUCGUGAGGCUUAACUUCACGAAUUUCGGAUAGACUGCCAGACUUGGGAUCGGGGGAGGUCAGAGGUACUCCAGGGGUAGCGGUGAAAUGUUGUAAUCCUUGGAGGACCACCGGUAGCGAAGGCGUCUGACUAGAACGAGUCCGACGGUGAGGGACGAAGCCCUGGGGCGCAAACCGGGAUUAGAUACCCGGGUAGUCCAGGGUGUAAACUAUGUGGGCUUUGUAUUGGAGGUCCCACGUGGGCGUCCAGUGCAGAAGAGAAGUUGUUAAGCCCACCGCCUGGGGAGUACGGCCGCAAGGCUGAAACUUAAAGGAAUUGGCGGGGGAGCACAGCAACGGGAGGAGCGUGCGGUUU